GAUGAACGCUGACAGAAUGCUUAACACAUCAGCAAUUGAUUGGUGGCGGACGGGUGAGUAACGCGUAAAUAACUUGCCUCCCAGUUAGGGACAACAUUUGGAAACGAAUGCUUAUACCUAAUACUGUGUGAGAGCUUUGGGUCCCAUUAGCUAGAUGGAGAGGUAACGGCUCACCAAGGCGAUGAUGGGUAGCCGGCCUGAGAGGGUGAUCGGCCACAAGGGGACUGGGACACGGCCCUUACUCCUACGGGAGGCAGGAGUAGGGAAUAAUGGAGAAAGGACCAAAGUCUGUUACAGCAAUUCUGUGUGCACGAUGAAGUUUUCGGAAUGUAAAGUGCUUUCAGUUGGGAAGCGGUACCAACAGAAGAAGUGACGGCUAAAUACGUGCCAGCCGCCGCGGUAAUAC
rnacentral:rRNA from 1 species